CGACAAUGGUGGCGAUAUUUUUCAACAGCUAUUCACCCAGCCCCAUGUUGCUACUUUGGGUCUGAGUAA